rnacentral:rRNA from 1 species
UACAGAGGUCUCAAGCGUUGUUCGGAUUCAUUGGGCGUAAAGGGUGCGUAGGCGGCCAACUAAGUCGGACGUGAAAUCCCUCGGCUUAACCGGGGAACGGCGUCCGAUACUGGAUGGCUUGAGUUUGGGAGAGGGAUGCGGAAUUCCAGGUGUAGCGGUGAAAUGCGUAGAUAUCUGGAGGAACACCGGUGGCGAAGGCGGCAUCCUGGACCAAAACUGACGCUGAAUAGCGAAAGCCAGGGGAGCAAACGGG